UUCAUUCUUCCAGGUUGAACUGUAUUUGUCCCAGGGAAGAAUGCGAAGUCGAAACAACAAAGUCCUUGCGAUAAGUGUCAGAUGUUAUUAUGACACCUCUGUGUACUUUGACGGACAGUCAGUGCAGAUGUUUUGCUGAGAAAGGUCCAGCUGCCCAACCCAAGCAUAUUGUUGCUCUACUUUUGGAAACGACACAGAGAGUUUGAGGGGAAGAAAUCAUACUCCCUAGUACAUGUAUCUACUCAAGAACUGCAGUCAUUCCAUGGUGGCCCUAUUUCUGAACCCCUCUUGAAGUUCAAGAUUCGGAUUCCUGAGAUCAAAAUACAUGAGGAUAGCGUGGGGAACCCUUCCAAAAAAAAUCUGGAUCUUCAUCUCAGAUUUUGAGAAAAUUCC
rnacentral:misc_RNA from 1 species